GACGAACGCUGGCGGCGUGCUUAACACAUGCAAGUCGAACGGAAAGGCCCUGCUUGCAGGGUACUCGAGUGGCGAACGGGUGAGUAACACGUGGGUGAUCUGCCCUGCACUUCGGGAUAAGCCUGGGAAACUGGGUCUAAUACCGGAUAGGAGCCAUUUUUAGUGUGAUGGUUGGAAAGUUUUUUUCGGUGUAGGAUGAGCUCGCGGCCUAUCAGCUUGUUGGUGGGGUAAUGGCCUACCAAGGCGGCGACGGGUAGCCGGCCUGAGAGGGUGGACGGCCACAUUGGGACUGAGAUACGGCCCAGACGCCUACGGGAGGCAGCAGUGGGGAAUAUUGCACAAUGGGCGCAAGCCUGAUGCAGCGACGCCGCGUGGGGGAUGACGGCCUUCGGGUUGUAAACUCCUUUCGCUAGGGACGAAGCUUUUUGUGACGGUACCUAGAUAAGAAGCACCGGCUAACUACGUG
rnacentral:rRNA from 1 species